rnacentral:rRNA from 1 species
UACGUAGGGUGCAAGCGUUGUCCGGAUUUAUUGGGCGUAAAGAGCUCGUAGGCGGUUUGAUAAGUCGGGUGUGAAAUCUCCAGGCUCAACCUGGAGCUGCCACUCGAUACUGUCAUGACUUGAAUUCGGUAGGGGACCACGGAAUUCCUGGUGUAGCGGUGAAAUGCGUAGAUAUCAGGAGGAAUACCUAUGGCGAAAGCAGGCUUCUGGGCUAUCACUGACGCUGAUCUGCGAAAGCUAGGGGAGCAAACAGG